CGAUUACGGCUCAGUAACACGUGGCCAACCUGCCCUUGGGACUGGAACACCCCCGGGAAACUGGGGUUAAUUCCAGAUAGGUGAAGAAGUCUGGAAUGACUCUUCGCUCAAAAGACGUUUAUGUCAUGCUCAUAUUCGUCGCCCAGGGAUGGGGCCGCGACCGAUCAGGUAGUUGGUGAGGCAAUGGCUCACCAAGCCUUUUACCGGUGCGGGCCGUGAGAGCGGGAGCCCGGAGAUGGGCACUGAGACAAGGGCCCAGGCCCCACGGGGCGCAACAGUCGCGAAAAUUUGGCAAUACACGAAAGUGUGACAGAGCUAUCCCAAGUGCCAGCCGCUGAGGAAGGCUUUUAACCAGUAUAAAUAGCUGGGAGAAUAAGGAGAGGGCAAGUCUGGU
rnacentral:rRNA from 1 species